UACGGGGGGGGCAAGCGUUGUUCGGAAUCACUGGGCGUAAAGGGCGCGUAGGCGGCCAUUCAAGUCAGAGGUGAAAGCCCAGGGCUUAACCCUGGAAUUGCCUUUGAUACUGUUUGGCUUGAGACCGGAAGAGGUAAGUGGAACUGCGAGUGUAGAGGUGAAAUUCGUAGAUAUUCGCAAGAACACCAGUGGCGAAGGCGGCUUACUGGUCCGGUUCUGACGCUGAGGCGCGAAAGCGUGGGGAGCAACAGGAUAAGA
rnacentral:rRNA from 1 species